GGUUCAGCUGGUACACUUGACAGUAACAUAAGUUCAGUUAUUCUUGGUUUUGAUGCUGUGGCCCUUUCAUCAAGAGUCAAAAGCAAGACUUUCUCUCUUAAGUCUAUGCAAAUCAUGUUUAAAGUUUUGGAUUUGGGAUGGCAUUUUCCAUUUUCAUAGUAACUGAUGCUCUCCUUUCUCUUUUUAACUUGUAAUGCACUU
rnacentral:misc_RNA from 1 species